GAUGAACGCUGGCGGCGUGCCUAAUACAUGCAAGUCGAGCGAAUGGAUUGAGAGCUUGCUCUUAUGAAGUAGCGGCGGACGGGUGAGUAACACGUGGGUAACCUGCCCAUAAGACUGGGAUAACUCCGGGAAACCGGGGCUAACACCGGAUAACAUUUUGAACCGCAUGGUUCGAAAUUGAAAGGCGGCUUCGGCUGUCACUUAUGGAUGGACCCGCGUCGCAUUAGCUAGUUGGUGAGGUAACGGCUCACCAAGGCAACGAUGCGUAGCCGACCUGAGAGGGUGAGCGGCCACACUGGGACUGAGACACGGCCCAGACUCCUGCGGGAGGCAGCAGGAGGGAAUCUUCCGGAAUGGACGAAAGUCUGACGGAGCAACGCCGCGUGAGUGAUGAAGGCUGUCGGGUCGUAAAACUCUGUUGUUAGGGAAGAACAAGUGCUAGUUGAAUAAGCUGGCACCUUGACGGUACCUAACCAGAAAGCCACGGCUAACUACGUGCCAGCCGCCGCGGUAA
rnacentral:rRNA from 1 species